CGGACGGGUGAGUAACACGUGGAUAACCUACCUAUAAGACUGGGAUAACUUGGGGAAACCGGAGCUAAUACCGGAUAAUAUAUUGAACCGCAUGGUUCAAUAGUGAAAGACGGUUUUGCUGUCACUUAUAGAUGGAUCCGCGCCGCAUUAGCUAGUUGGUAAGGUAACGGCUUACCAAGGCAACGAUGCGUAGCCGACCUGAGAGGGUGAUCGGCCACACUGGAACUGAGACACGGUCCAG
rnacentral:rRNA from 1 species